rnacentral:rRNA from 1 species
CGGACGGGUGAGUAACGCGUGGAAAACCUGCCGUAUGCUGGGGGAUAACACUUAGAAAUAGGUGCUAAUACCGCAUAAGCGCACAGCUUCGCAUGAAGCGGUGUGAAAAACUCUGGUGGUAUACGAUGGUUCCGCGUCUGAUUAGCUAGUUGGUGGGGUAAUGGCCUACCAAGGCAACGAUCAGUAGCCGGCCUGAGAGGGUGAACGGCCACAUUGGGACUGAGACACGGCCCAAACUCCUACGGAAGGCAGCAG